CUAGCUCUGUGGAUUCUUAUCAAGUUCAGUUGUCCAGUGUUGUAAAUUGUUGCUGUUUUGUUUUUACAGGGUGGAUCAUACUCCUCACAAAACUAUGGUGAUAGCCAAGUAAGUAGUAGGUUUUUAUUUCCUCCCACUGAGGUUGUGCUUUACAAGGUUCCAUUAUCUCUGUUCAAAAUUAGCUCUGUAAUGUUGUAAUAUUUAUUCUAAUUUUGUUUGUUUUGCAGAGUGGCUCAUCAUCUUCACAACAUUAUGGUGGCAGCCAGAACUAUGGAGGUGGCCAAGGUGGAUCAUCCUCUUCAGACAGCUAUAGUGAUAAUCAGGAUUCACAGGUUUCUUCAGAUGAUAAUCCCAAUGCUUGUGAUGAUAAUGACACUACAUAUAGUGCUAAUGGUCAGAGUUCUGGUUGUUCAAACAGAAAGAUUGUUGUUGCACGCGACACAUCACAUGUUUUGAGCAAAAGAGACUAUGAUGUACAGAAUGGAUCUUCUACUUCAAAUGGCAACCACACCAACCUCCAGGAUGGAUCCUUUAUUGCAACCGGUGGUGGAUCAAGUAGCCAGGGUGGUUGCAUUUGUCCUGAUGGAAGCAGUGGAAUUAGACAGGGAGCGCCAGGUUCUUCACACAGCACGUACUCUGGUAACCAGGGAGGAUCCUCCUUCUACCCGGGAGGAUCCUCCUUCUACCCAGGAGGAUCUUAUGGACAGGGAGCGCCAGGUUCUUCACACAGCACGUACUCUGGUAACCAGGGGGGACCUUCCUUCUAUCCUGGUGGAUCUCAUGGACAGGGCGAGUCUUCUGUCUAUGACAGCAGCAGCGAAUCCUAUGGUCAGGAUGGACCUUCCACAUACGAUAUUGGUGGACCUUAUGGUGAGGAUUCACCUCCCGUAGGAGGCGAUGAAUCUGAUGAAAGUGAUUCCCCCACACCAUCUGGCAGCCAGCAUAGUGGAGCGGCGUCAUCUUCUCAUGGUGGUAGUUACUCCAGUCGACAGGACUCAUCUUCAUCAGGAAGCAGCCAGUAUGGUGGGCAGGGUUCACCUUCUUCAGGAGGCGGCCAGUCUGGUGGACAGAGUGGAUGUGAUUGUUCUGGGGGGACCUCUAGUGGAUCUCCUACCUUAGCCAGAAGUGAUUCCUCUGCAAAUGGUUCAUCAUCUUCUGGAGGCAGCCAGCACAACAGCCAAGGUUCCUAUUCUGGAGCUAGCCAGUAUGGAGAACGUGGAUCAUCAUCUUACGGAGGCAGCAGUUACAGUGGACAAGGUUCACCCUCUUCAGGAGGAAGCCAGCAUGGUGGGCAGGGUUCACAUUUCUCAGGAGGCAGCCAGUAUGGUGGACAGGGUCCGUAUUUCUCAGGUGGCAGCCAUUAUGGAGGACAGGGCUCACCUUCUUCAGGAGGCGGCCAGUCUGGUGGACAGGUAUGCUUUUCUUUCUCCACAGCAUUCAGUUAUGCAAAUAUCAGUCACUCUCAGUUUACCUUGAGCAUUUUUCCUUCACAAAGGAAGGAUUACCCAUCUCAUGCAGAUUGAAUGUAAAAAGUGAAGUACCAAAUGGUGAGCUACUGGCCACCUCUCAGUUAGUUGCCUCAGGGUAGAAAGCACUUGGUAGUCCUCCGCUGGAAGUCAUCUUUAGUGUUUUCCAUAAUAUCUGUGGCAUGAAAGAAUACUGCAGGUAGUCCAGGUGCUCUGGCUUCUUUAAGGAAAAAACAAUUACAUGUUCCAUAGUACUGCUCAGAACUUUUUACACUGUUUUGAUGUGUAGGGCCGUAACUUUAAGUGAGAAAUUAGAAGACCAUAUUUAAGCAUUAGAUCAGUAAGUGUACAGCUAUACUGAAAGGAAGGUGAAGGGAGAGAGAAAGAAACUACUUUCUAGAUGGAACUUGAUGAGUCUAUGAGCAAGAUUUUAUGAUCUGUUUUCUUGCAAUAGCAGGGUUUAAGUUUGAUUUGCUAAUUCAAAGGCCUCUUCUAGUCAUGCACUCUCUAGAAAAUUAGUUUGGUUUUGUGUUACACAGGGUGGAUGUCUGUGUCCUGGUGGAAGUUCAGGCUCUUCUGGAGGAAGCAGCUACCAUGGUGGACAGGUAAGCAGUAUUUCUUCAGCAUUUAUACAGAUUCAGUCAUAUCCUUUUAUAAAGUCUCUGCUGAAUUUACUAGAGACCAGAUUUUACUUUGCAGUUUUAUAAGUCUGCUUAACUGGAAAUAACAUGUAAGGAAAGUUCACCGGAUUCAUUCCAUUGCAUAAACUGUUAAUAUGGUUUCCUGAUAAGUAGCCAUUUUCCUUUGUAUUAAUAACUGUGUAAGGAUUUUCCAGUUGAUGUCAUGAUUGUUGAUGUCAUGAUGUUGUUGAUCAAUGUUUCCACAUUGAUGUCAUGAUUGUUGUUUAAAUUAGGUCCAAUUUUUUUGGUGCCAGUUGAUACUUAAAAAAAUAAUUUACAAAAGUUGAGUUUCACAUUUUUUUUGCAGGGUUCAUCUUAUUCUGGAAGCAGUCAGUAUGGUGGACAGGUAAGCAACUCUUCGUUUUUAAGGUCUUCUUCCUACAAGCUAUUUAUUAAAUGAAAAAUAUGAUGCAGUGGGUUUACUGACAGUUUUUUC
ensembl:lncRNA